UUCUGUUCCACCUCCAAAAGAUAUUUCCUCCUUCCGUGCAGAGAGAGAACAUGCACUGAGGAGAGGUCUGCAGGUGAGACUCAAAAUGAAUCUUUUAUUGUUUAAACAAAGGCAAUCUGGAAACUAAUAUGUCAAAAUCUAUGUAAUGAAAAAGUCUCUGGAGUUAUCUGGGUUUGUGUUCUCCUGGUUCAGGUGGCUGAAGCUUUGCCGGUUCACUCUCAGGCUGACGUGAUGCUGACGGAGCUGGAGAGCUGCUUGAGUCUAGAGUACACCCCUGAUAGUCUGCCUCCUCUCCUGCACCAGUUCUUUACAGACCGAUCGUAUCACUUGGCUCAGAUAAAAUACCUGCUCAUGCUGAGAUGGAGGAGAUUUUGUCGCCACAGCAGCGUCAUUGAGAAACUUUAUCCUCAUUACAAGGACCAGGUUUCAUAUUUGACUGCUGAGUAUGAGGAUGCUGUUCAGAGAGCUCGCAGGCUGUCGGCAAGCAGAGAGAAGAUCCUGACCGGCCGAGGAAACACCGCCAACCUGCUUACUGAGGGCGAUGUUGUCAUUUACCUCCACUGGCUCAUCUGCCACCUUCACUCAGUUCAGACGAUUCACAACUUCCUCAGGGUGCUGCACUACAUACCAGCCAGUGAGAGGAAAGGUGAAGAAUUUCAACCACCAGUCAUAAAGGAGAAGAAUAGACAAGCUGAUGGACUGGCUGACAUCGUUCCCCUGCACUCUGUUAACCGGGAGGAGUUUCUAGCUGAACUGAACGCAUUGAUCACCUAUUUCCAGCUGUCGUACGACACAGAAAAACUCAGGACUACUGCGGAUGAGAUGGAGUUGUUCAGCACGGUGUGGAGAGAGUUCAGAACAAUCUUCACACAACAAGAGCAGAUGACAACAUUUCCUCAGUGCGACAGUGCAGAGGUCAAAGAGAGCCACUGGGGCAGGAGAGGUGCAAGCACGGCCCUGAGGGUGGAGGCCUCCUGGAUCCCUUUCAUUCAGGUGAAACCCAGACGGGAUCCGUGGCAGCAAAAGCUCAACGUGAAGCUGAAGGAAAAGAAAUGUGUCGACGAGCUGCUGAAGCUGCACUGCAGGUUUAUCCAGGUUCAUGAUCUGCUCCAUGUUGCUGCAGCUCUUAAAGAACACGCUGCUCACGUCGGCAACUUACAUCCUACACGAACGUCAUCUGUCUCACACAGCUGGUCAACCAAACAGCAAAGAAUCUCAGAGAUCUGGACUAGUAUUUACAAUGCUACGAGCUCAAAUCAGGAAAGUCAUGAUCAGCUAUUCAGAUUCAGAGACAGGGGAGGGCAGGACAAAGGAGAAUUCAGUUUGAAGAGUCAAACUUCAAAUGAAGGGUGUGUAUGUCUUUGGAUUAUCUGA
rnacentral:lncRNA from 1 species